rnacentral:lncRNA from 1 species
CUUGUGUCUGGAACAAGCUGUAGAUGUGGAACACCAAAAACUAACUGAUGAAAAAAGGGAUUAGAAAAAGAUCUUAAUUUAGACCUGACACAUGUAAACACUAGUAAAGCAUUUAGACAGUGGAGGGACCUCUGAACUAUUAAUGCUCAAGAGGUUGCGAACAAAAUAAGUGCCACCGUAUUUCAAAAAAUGAAGUUCAGCUGUAAACUGUGUUGAGGUGCUUGUUCUUCCAGAGCUGAGAAAGUCCGUGAGCUUAAAGAAUCAGGGUUCUUCAGAUGGUGGCCUUGCUCUGAGAGCCACAACACAGGUCCUGCAGUCCACAUUGUGUGGUAGCACCUUUAGAAUAUGUAUGGUUGUGACACAAAUGUACAAGGAAGGUCAGAACUAAACCCAGUGCAGUAGAUGAGCUGCUACUCUGCAAUGCUGUCGAAGAACCCAGGGAAUGGGCAAAACAUUGCACUGAAGAAAACUAACAUGCAAACAUAUCGGAGGCGUCACCGUUGGAUGCAUUCUGUGGGCAUGCUAGGAAGCCGGGUGAUGUCAGGGCAGUCAGUGAUUCAGCACUACAGGCCUUCGAUGCUUCCAAUACCAUCUCAGAUACAGGCAUAAAUCCAUUUGGCUAGACAUUUUGUUCACAGAGACAAACAGCAGACAGAGAAGGUUAACUUGUUGGCACUACAGAUCAUUCAUCUUGCAAGACAGAGGAAGGCAUAGACAGAAAUACAUUAACACUCAUCAAAUAAACUGCUAAAUUUCUUCA